UCUCACUAUAAAAGAUCUAAGUCAUCACUACAGUCCACAGUCUAUAUUAUCUUUUGUCCGAAUAUACAUCUCAACAAUCAUGAACAACAAGCUAGUGUUCUUACUCGCUCUGGUGGCUCUGCUCGCCGUCACCAACGCCAAACCUCAAGGUGGCGAAGGUAAGCUGCAUUUAGAUAGAACACUUAAGAGCACUUAACGUCGUGAAUGGAGAAAAUCAAGUUAACGUUGUGGACGGUGGCCAACAAAUUCAAGUCGUAGACGGCACAGAGCAAGGCAAGCCAGGUCUAGCUCGCGGUGGCGAAGAAAACCGGUGAAACAGUUUGUCCUCAUCAAUGUACACAUCAAGUUAAAUACUGACUUCAAGAUCGACCUUGUUUCCUGGAAAUAAAAGCUAUUUUUGUUGUUCAACUGUUACUCUUGAUGUGCCAUUAUGUUUUAGUACACUCAUCUCAUUCGUACCCAUUUGUUCAAAUCUGUGUUAUACACAGCUUAGGUUAAGAAAUAAAAACAAGAAAACAUAA